rnacentral:rRNA from 1 species
UCGGGGUGCCCAGGCGCGAAAACUUUACAAUGCUGGCAACAGCGAUAAGGGGACCUCGAGUGCCAGGAUACAAUCUUGGCUGUCGCGAUGCCUAAAAAGCAUUGCAUAGCAAGGGCCGGGCAAGACCGGUGCCAGCCGCCGCGGUAACACCGGCGGCUCGAGUGGUAACCGCUAUUAUUGGGUCUAAAGGGUCUGUAGCCGGCCGGAUAAGUCUUUUGGGAAAUCCAGCUGCUCAACAGUUGGGCUUUCAGAAGAUACUGUUCGGCUCGAGACCGGGAGAGGUGAGAGGUACUUCAGGGGUAGGGGUGAAAUCUUGUAAUCCUUGAAGGACCACCAGUGGCGAAGGCGUCUCACCAGAACGGAUCUGACGGCAAGGGACGAAAGCUAGGGGCACGAACCGGAUUAGAUACCCGGGUAGUCCUAGCCGUAAACGAUACUCGCUAGGUGUCAGCCACGGUGCGACCGUGGUUGGUGCCGUAGGGAAGCCGUGAAGCGAGCCACCUGGGAAGUACGGCCGCAAGGCUGAAACUUAAAGGAAUUGGCGGGGGAGCAC